CGCCUCUUCUCCCCUCGUCGGCGUUGUCGUUCGGGCUGCUCGCGUAGCUAGUCCUGUCGAUUCCGUCGCGGCGCCUGCUGUCCUGGCGACAGUCAAGCGUGUUCCUGCUGCUUCACCUUCCUCUCCGACCGUUCUUGUUCCUCGCCGCCGGCACCUGCGCUUUGGGCUCCAUCCUGGAGUACGUGCCCGGCGACGAGGAGGGCGUGCAGCAUCCCGGGAGCUUCAACUUGGAUCCUCCUGCAUGCAGUCAAAGUUCCGUGACCCAUCCACGUCUGCAAGCAGGGGCCUACACGAUGUUGCAGAACACGAAGAGCUCGUUGUCUACUUGUCUCCACGAAGCUUCAGUACGGCUACAGUUAUUCAGCACCUGCG
rnacentral:lncRNA from 1 species